UAGAGAUGACGGACAGGUGAAAGGAAGCG
rnacentral:piRNA from 1 species